rnacentral:rRNA from 1 species
ACGUAGGUGGCAAGCGUUGUCCGGAUUUACUGGGCGUAAAGGAUGCGUAGGCGGAUACUUAAGUCAGAUGUGAAAUUCCCGGGCUUAACUUGGGAACUGCAUUUGAAACUGGGUAUCUAGAGUGUGGGAGAGGAAAGUGGAAUUCCUAGUGUAGCGGUGAAAUGCGUAGAGAUUAGGAAGAACACCAGUGGCGAAGGCGACUUUCUGGACCAUAACUGACGCUGAGGCAUGAAAGCGUGGGGAGCAAACAGG